rnacentral:rRNA from 1 species
AUUGAACGCUGGCGGCAGGCCUAACACAUGCAAGUCGAGCGAGCGGCGGACGGGUGAGUAAUGUAUGGGGACUGCCCGAUAGAGGGGGAUAACUACUGGAAACGGUGGCUAAUACCGCAUACUAUCGGAUAACCCAUAUGGGAUUAGCUAGUAGGUGGGGUAAAGGCUCACCUAGGCGACGAUCUCUAGCUGGUCUGAGAGGAUGAUCAGCCACACUGGGACUGAGACACGGCCCAGACGCCUACGGAGGCAGCAGUGGGGAAUAUUGGGCAAUGGGCGCAAGCCUGACCCAGCAACGCCGCGUGAAGGAAGACGGUCUUCGGAUUGUAAAGUACUUUCAGUCGGGAGGCGUUACCGACAGAAGAAGCACCGGCUAACUCCGUGCCAGCAGCCGCGGUAAUUC